UUAAAAAAAAAAAAAAAAGCUCAUUGGGGCCAGGGACACUUCAUCAUGGAGUUUUACCAUGUUACUGAUAAAACAACUCUUCCCUUGUCUGCAAUUAUCUCAUUGUGUCUGGAGGAAAAGUGGUUCCACAGGGUGACCUGGCUUUUUCCUUUGUGGAACAUAAGGGCUAGACACACUCAUAUUACCUGUAUUAUUAGCUUAAAUUUGCAUAGCAAUUUUAAUUUUUCUCUCUCGCCGCAUCCUUGCAGGGUAAGCACGGCCGAUGUAGUAAUUUGUUCAAGAUCACACAGCUCAUCAUUCGUGGACCGUGACUUCGACUCCAGCUACUCAGUCUCAGAGAAAGUCAACAUUUCCCCAGGGCGGGUCACUGCCUAAUCUGGAUCUUUUUCCCCGCCCCCGCUACUGCCACUGAGCAAGGGGCCCCUGAGUGCGGACGCCCCCAGAAAAUGCUGCCUAGAAGCUUGGCACACGGGGAAUUUAACUCUUGUCAAGUGGACAAAUUCCCAUCCUACAAAUUGUCCUUGGCAACAUCGCCACUUACCAGCUGGGGUCAUUUCUCCCCCGAUGGCUGGGGGGACACCUACUGCCACUGAGCAAGGGGCCCCUGAGAAGGAUCGCCGGCCUCGCGGCCCGUGAGAGCUGCUGUCAUUCGAUCGCGACGGUGUUGGGGCGCACCCUCACUGGGGGGUCCUGCCGGAGCGGCCGGGUCCUCCCCAGCGCCAGGGCCCAAGUGCGGAGGGCGCCUUCGGCGAGGUGAACCGGGUCCCCACCAUCUUAAGGAGGGGUGAGGGCAGGUGGGGGCCGCUGGACUACAGGGUUGCCCAGGGAGACUCCGGGAGGUGACAGGAACACCUCCUUCUUGGGACCAGAGGUCAGUCCUCCGCUAUCCCAGAAUGCCCCGGAUCCCGGAAGUGCCUGGCUUCCCGGAAGUGCCCGACUGGGUGACAGAGCCCAGGCUGUCUGGAGCGCUGCCGCUGGAGGGUUGCUGUUCUGGGGCGUGGGUGGCUGCAGGACGUGCGGCUCAGGGUAGGGGUGGGCGCCGGGAGGGAGCUGGGCGGCAGGAUGAUGGAGGAGGAGGAACUGGAGUUCGUGGAGGAGCUGGAAGCCGUGCUGCAGCUCACGCCCGACGUGCAGCUCGCCAUCGAGCAGGUAUUUCCAAGCCAGGAUCCUCUAGAUCGAGCAGAUUUCAAUGCUGUGGAGUAUAUCAACACCCUGUUCCCAACAGAGCAAUCUCUGGCAAACAUCGAUGAAGUUGUGAACAAAAUUAGACUGAAAAUAAGGAGACUGGAUGACAGCAUUCGAACUGUUGUAAGAGGUCAAACAAAUGUGGGGCAGGAUGGCCGGCAAGCACUUGAAGAGGCCCAGAAAGCGAUUCAGCAACUCUUUGGGAAAAUCAAAGACAUCAAGGACAAAGCAGAAAAAUCGGAGCAAAUGGUGAAGGAAAUCACCCGCGACAUCAAGCAGUUAGAUCACGCCAAACGCCACCUGACCACCUCGAUCACGACGCUGAACCACCUGCACAUGCUGGCGGGCGGCGUUGAUUCCCUCGAAGCCAUGACCAGGAGAAGGCAGUAUGGAGAAGUUGCUAAUCUUCUUCAGGGCGUAAUGAAUGUUCUGGAGCACUUCCACAAAUAUAUGGGAAUUCCACAGAUCCGGCAGCUUUCUGAAAGAGUGAAGGCUGCCCAGACCGAGUUAGGACAGCAAAUCCUGGCCGAUUUCGAAGAAGCAUUUCCUUCCCAGGGUACCAAGAGGCCAGGAGGACCCAGCAAUGUCCUACGAGAUGCUUGUCUGGUUGCUAAUAUUUUGGACCCCAGAAUCAAGCAGGAAAUCAUCAAAAAGUUUAUUAAACAGCAUCUGUCAGAGUAUCUAGUACUUUUUCAAGAAAACCAAGAUGUUGCCUGGCUGGACAAAAUUGACCGGCGCUAUGCCUGGAUCAAGCGCCAGCUUGUGGACUACGAGGAGAAAUACGGCCGGAUGUUCCCGCGAGAGUGGUACAUGGCGGAGAGGAUUGCAGUAGAAUUUUGCCACGUCACAAGGACAGAACUGGCCAAGAUCAUGCGUACCAGAGCUAAGGAAAUUGAAGUGAAAUUGCUUCUCUUUGCUAUUCAGAGAACGACUAACUUUGAGGGGUUUCUUGCAAAACGCUUCUCCGGGUGUACCCUGACAGAUGGAACUCUGAAAAAACUCGAGUCUCCACUCGCAUCCACCAAUCCCUUCCUAGAAGAUGAGCCGGCACCAGAGAUGGAGGAACUGGCGAUGGAAAAAGGAGACGUAGAGCAACCCAAGAAGCCUAAAGCCCCAGACAAUCCAUUUCACGGCAUUGUUUCCAAGUGUUUUGAGCCUCAUCUCUACGUGUAUAUUGAGUCCCAGGACAAAAACCUUGGGGAGCUGAUAGAUCGGUUCGUGGCCGAUUUCAAAGCCCAGGGGCCACCUAAGCCCAACACGGACGAGGGGGGCGCCGUGCUCCCCAGCUGCGCCGACCUCUUUGUCUACUACAAGAAGUGCAUGGUGCAGUGCUCGCAGCUCAGUACCGGGGAGCCGAUGAUCGCCCUGACCACUAUUUUCCAGAAGUACCUCCGAGAGUACGCCUGGAAAAUCCUCUCUGGCAACCUGCCCAAAACCACAAGCAGCGGCGGUGGGUUGACCAUCAGCAGCCUCCUCAAGGAAAAGGAGGGCUCAGAAGUGGCCAAGUUCACCCUGGAGGAGCUCUGCCUCAUCUGCAGCAUCCUGAGCACUGCAGAGUACUGCUUGGCCACCACCCAGCAGCUGGAAGAGAAACUCAAGGAGAAGGUCGACAUAAGUCUGACUGAACGAAUCAAUCUGACUGGAGAAAUGGACACAUUCAGCACUGUCAUCUCCAGCAGCAUUCAGCUGUUGGUUCAGGAUCUCGAUGCUGCCUGUGACCCCGCCCUGACAGCCAUGAGCAAGAUGCAGUGGCAGAACGUGGAGCAUGUCGGUGACCAGAGCCCCUACGUCACCUCUGUCAUUCUUCACAUAAAACAGAACGUCCCCAUCAUCCGUGACAACCUGGCUUCCACGCGGAAAUACUUCACACAGUUCUGCAUUAAAUUUGCAAACUCCUUCAUUCCCAAGUUCAUCACCCACCUCUUCAAGUGCAAGCCAAUUAGCAUGGUGGGAGCAGAACAGCUGCUGCUGGACACCCACUCCCUGAAGAUGGUCCUGCUCGAUCUGCCUUCCAUCGGCUCUCAGGUGGUGAGGAAAGCCCCAGCCAGUUACACAAAGAUCGUGGUGAAAGGCAUGACCCGAGCGGAGAUGAUCCUCAAGGUCGUGAUGGCCCCUCACGAGCCGUUGGUGGUGUUUGUGGACAACUACAUCAAACUCCUGACGGACUGCAACACAGAAACCUUCCAGAAGAUCCUGGACAUGAAGGGGCUGAAAAGGAGCGAGCAGAGCAGCAUGCUGGAUCUCUUCCGCCAGAGGCUCCCCGCGCCGCCCUCAGGGCCCGAAGGCUCCAGCUCUCUGUCCCUCCUGGCUCCAACUCCAGAACAGGAGUCAUCUCGCAUCCGCAAACUGGAGAAACUAAUUAAAAAGAGACUGUAGGAGCGUCCAAGGGGCACUUUUCCCCCAGCCAGUGACACCCCCCCCCACCAGCACCCAGAUCUCCGGAAGCCCCCCACCUCUCCUGUGCUUCCCCGACUCUCAGAUCAUCCGUCUUGAAACUUGCUGGGGCUUUUGGGUUAUUCACAUGUUUCUCCCAUGUCCUGUCUUAAUUCCUGUCCUAAUCGGAGAAGACGGGUAACGGCCAGAUUAUAAAAAGGCAGUCAAGAUGGUCCCUGAUUCCUGCAGCAGAGGCAGCUGGGGGUGAAGGUUCCGUGUGCUUCACUUGCUGGUCCCGGGCUGCCCUCGACUGGUCCAGUUGUCGCUGACUCUGUAGCCUCACCCCCGCAGUCACACCCUCUGGCAUGUGGUCCUGUUCCUUUCCAUGCUUCUAUCCCAGCACCGUGGGUGAGAAAGCCUGGAACUCACCCCUUCCUCCACAUGCAGCCGUGUGAGGUUCCCUCUGCGGCCGGACCCUUAAGAGAUGUCAUCUGGGCUUGGCUCUAGGGCCCAAGUUAUGAAGUGGAAGAUCACAGGUGUGACGGAAGAAAGAGACUUCCUGAUUGCUCGUUAGAGGUGCCCAGGCUGGAGAAAAUUCUGUUUGGAUCAUAACAGGGAAAUGGGAACCACCAUGGACGGGGUGUUUUGACCUCCAAAUUCCGUUCUGGAAUUGAAACUAACUGUUGCCACGCCUCCUGUCUUGAAGAACAAAGACCCAGUACCUGGGGCUUUCCCAGGAAAGGGCACCGACUUUCCCAUGCCUCGGGCAGCUCCUCGGUGCAGGUGGAACAGGACCGAAAGCAGACGUCCAAGGACCAAUAAAACAGAACAGGCUAUGGGAAAGAAUUAGCGAGCCCGUGAAGCCUGGGCUCCCCUCUCGGCAUCUGCCCUUCUGCCUGGUGAAGAUGCGCCCAUUCCCUGACAGCACGAAACCAGAAUGUGAUGUUCCUCAGCGAGGUCCCGGCAUGUCCAGCGGUGGUGGAAACCCUCUGUAAAUAGCUCCAAUCACAGCCUGCUUCUCCAUGUGACUGCCAGAGGCCUUCUGUCCUGUGCACACUCACCACUUCGAUAGGGUAGCCAGAAAUCCAUCUGAUGAGAAAAGAAACAUUUCCGUAUACCCCACCCAGAAGAACGCUGCCAGAUGAUUGACCCACCAGGCUCUCUUCUUUCUCACAUACAUAACCAGGUCCAGACGUGCUCUUUGCAUGCAGGACCUGGAAGCCUCUUAGAGAAAUCCCAAGAGAACGGCCCAGAAGGCCCUGCACGGUUCAAGGUGAAUCCUAGGGCGGGAAGCAGGCAUAAAGGAAGCCGCACUGCAUCAGGACCACCCUGUAAACGCAACCAGAAGGGGCGAGAGGCACUUAGCUGCGGACCACAGCACAGCUCCGGCACCUCCAAGCUACGUAGCUCUCCCCCCGCACCAGCACCGGCAACGGCACCCGGGGCUUUGGUACCCACAGCGGUGGCGUGGCUGCAGCCCCUCUCUAAGUGCCUGGUGGAGCUGGUGGUGGUCUCUGCAAGGGCAGCCUGUUGGAGGGCCGCCGUGUGGGUCACUGUCACCCAACUUAGCAGAACCAAAGGCUGGGGCAGUGGGUGCAGGAAAAGGAAAAGAAAACUAAUGGCAGGCAUCCUCUGCAUAUAACCAGAUUUAUUUAUGAGCAUAUGAGAGGCAGAGACUUCCAGAAAUACUUGUCAUUGGUUGGGGUCAUCCUGCAGAAGUACAAGGCAAGAGUCAAUAAAAUUCCAGUUAACCCCCAGCUGAUGCGACCUGGGAAAACAUGAGACUCAUGGAAUUUUUCAUUGGUACCUCUUCUCUCACCUCAAGUUCCUACCCCACCCCUGGCUAAUUUUCCUCAAAACUGAAAAACAUUUCUUCAAAGGCAUGUAAAUGUCUUCGGCAAGUCUCAGGAGCUCCCAACAGUACAUAGCUGCAAACCACAGCCGCCUCCCGCUGCGGGGUAUUCUGCUUUGAAUUUGAGGGAGGAGAGGAAUGCACUUAGGGACACCGGCUCCAGGGAAGGACAGCAGAGCCAAUUGGCCGCCCCCAGGCUCCCACUCUCCACCCUUUCCCACGCAGCCUACAGACCGAAAUCCCCCGAGGGUCCUGGAGGCUGCCUUUGGAGAGUGGCUGUGCAGACUGGCCAACUGUUGCCUGCACACCCUUCUAUCACGCCCUUCAACCAAGGAGCCAAGGGUCUUAACUUCAGUUGCUCAACUAAGGGCUAUUUUUCUGGGCUGCAAGUCCUUGUCUGGUGUGAAUACACAGAACGGAGCCAGGAGUGCAAGUGUAUUGAUGUCGUUCCAACGAGGCCGUGAGCCCCAGCUCUUUGCAAAAUCCCAUCUGGGUUUUAUUUUGCAGAUGCCACGGCCCUUUUUCUGUGUAACUAGGGAGCGUUUGGGAGAACAGCUCUCAGCUUACACAUAGGAGGCCCCAAGGGUGGAGCCUGUAUUUGGGGUCCUCAGGUUCCCCACACAGGGGUCACUGGCCUGACUCCACCCCAAGCUUCAUUCGGUGUCUGGGUGAGCGUCGCCACUGAGGCUGGGCCAGAUCCCACCUCUCCACCUGACCUGGUGGUCUCCCAGGUGAGAGGUCAGAAAAGGAGCCUGGGUGCUUCCCUGGUGGUGCAGUGGUUAAGAAUCUGCCUGCCAGUGCAUGGGACAGGGGUUCAAGCCCUGGUCCAGGAAGAUCCCACAUACCGCAGAGCAACUAAGCCCGUGCGCCA